UUUUACAAAUUAUUAACCAAUAUUAUUUAAUAAAAUAUAAAAUAAUAAUAUAUUAAUUUAUUAUUGACAUUUCUAAUUCUCCCUAUUUUCACUAUUUCACGACAAAAAGAAAGUCAUCGCUGGUGUCGUCACCAUUUUUACCAUCGAGUUACAUAUACUUUCUCCCUCAAGUAGCAAUUUGGAGCCUCGCCAUGGUCAAUGAAAUUUGAAAAGGCCAUUAAGGCAGAUAUUGUAAACUUCUCAGCAAUAACCGAAGGCAAAUUGGACAAAUCAUGUCAAUUUCUUCAUAAUCCAAAACCAGCAGCACCAUUCUUCGUCUCCUCCACAUUCUUUUCACCAUUCCUACAGACCGUUCUUCCAAUUAAACUUAUCUUGGCUUUAUAAGAUGAUUCAGUACCACCAUCGGCAUUUGACAUUAAUCAUGAUUUAUGCAUAAAUAUUCAUUUUCUUGGAAUUUUUGCUUGUUAGACUUAAAGCCUUUGAACUCCUCAUCAGUACCCAAGACACUCUUUACGAUCUUUGUUGUUGUACACACCAAGAAUUGGAGUAUUGUGGAUAAAUGGAUGAACCUACUCGUUACACCUCCAAACAUGGACUGACGCAAAACUCUCGCCUCUGCAAAUUUUUACCCAAAAAAACUCCAACAUCAAUGGAGAAUCUGAAGAUUUCAUCAAGAAUGUCGCUUGUGCAACUUUCUCCCUCACCCGUCUUCAUCUCCGUCGCACACCACAACUAUUUAAAUGUCCUUAUCCAAAGUAACGACAACCUAAGUCAACGCACAACAAGAUCUGGCCACCGUAUAAUCAGAUCUGGCCAAACUUUUCAUAAGAGGUAAGUACUUCUUGUUCUUGUAAACUUCUCUAAGAGUUGACUUUUGCUUCUGUAAGAUGACAGUCAAAUUCUGUGCAAUUGACAACCUUACCAUCUUGAUUUUGGAUAGCUUGUUAGGAGAACCAUCAGUGACUUUUGCAACACGGAGAAAACCAAUCUCAACCUUCAGAUCUAAGCCAUAAAGUCUGUCUUUGACUUAUUCUUCGACUCAUGAACCUUUAUUAUCACCAUGGCUGUUGCUCUUUUGAGGUUAUUGCUCAGAUGUGGAUGAAGAUUGGAAAACCAUUAAGGUAAUUAGGAUCAACAUUUUGGCGUAUCGUUGAUCCAGUGAGUAGUUCAGAGUCUGUUGGUGAGCCUACUUGCAUUAUAGAGGAUCCAUUUUAUUGUUUUCUAGUUAUUUCAUUAGGAUGUUGUGGGGUUUUUCCCAACGUCCAUCUCUAUUGUUUUUAUAGGCUUCAUAGACAGUGAGAUUUUAGACCUUUGAGUUUUGUCAUUAUCAUUUAUUAUUUACUAAGACUUGAGUUGCCAUUUAGGCUAAGUUCAAUGUUUUAUUUUUAAAACAUUCUAAGUUAUCCUUUACACAGUUGAGUAAGUGCAUUUU